rnacentral:misc_RNA from 1 species
ACGAGUUAGGGUCUUCCAGGCCCGACCUCCCAACCCUUUGUUUACUGAACCAUUGUUGCUUCGGUGGGUCCGUCUCACGACCGUCGGGGGACUGCCGUCACAGGCACCCCCUGGCCCGCACCCGCCGAUAGCCCAACCUUUAAACCCUUUAUAAAUCGUGUCUUGUGUCUGAAUCGUGAUUUACAAAAUCAAAACA